rnacentral:rRNA from 1 species
GUGGGGAAUAUUGCACAAUGGGGGAAACCCUGAUGCAGCGACGCCGCGUGAGCGAAGAAGUAUUUCGGUAUGUAAAGCUCUAUCAGCAGGGAAGAAGAAAUGACGGUACCUGACUAAGAAGCACCGGCUAAAUACGUGCCAGCAGCCGCGGUAAUACGUAUGGUGCAAGCGUUAUCCGGAUUUACUGGGUGUAAAGGGAGCGCAGGCGGAAGGCUAAGUCUGAUGUGAAAGCCCGGGGCUCAACCCCGGUACUGCAUUGGAAACUGGUCAUCUAGAGUGUCGGAGGGGUAAGUGGAAUUCCUAGUGUAGCGGUGAAAUGCGUAGAUAUUAGGAGGAACACCAGUGGCGAAGGCGGCUUACUGGACGAUAACUGACGCUGAGGCUCGAAAGCGUGGGGAGCAAACAGGAUUAGAAACCCCAGUAGUCCC